rnacentral:misc_RNA from 1 species
UAUUUAUUUGUGGAUUUUUGUUAUUCAUUCAUGACUCCUUUUUUCCCCUGAACAAUGGGAUACAAAAAUGUUUUGUAUUGAAUUUAAUUAGUUUGUAGUUUGGCUUGUUAUGUAAUAUUAAAAAAGAGGGACCAAUCGUAUCUAACGCACACACAAAGGAAAGUAUUGGCGUCACAGAAGAUCGGAUUGUUCCUAUCUGUUGUACCGGUCAUCUGUCUGCAAUAAAACGUGUGAUUCAACUUCCAAGUCGUAUAUAUAUACAUACAUGUAUAUUGCUAUACGGGUCAAUAUCUUAAUGGAUUGUUUAAACAUUUUUAACUUAUUGGCAUCCCCUCUCUAGCCUAUAUAACGUCAGAAUAGGGGCGGGAACCCCCCACCCCCCCCAAAAAAAAAAUAUCAGAAAGUUAAAGGGAACGUUUAAAAUAAUUCAUUUAUUCACGUUUAUUUUAUCUCGAAAGCUACCAUAAACGUUUUUAAAACGUUUCCUCCACUUUGGAGAGGAUUAAUUCCGUGAUACUUCUCGUUAUAUUUUUAUUCUCUUUAGAAAUCCUCAAAGACUACGUCUGUAGUAGCUUAAUAAAGCCAGUGUUCGCAGUACAAAACGUGCUGCUUGAUUUGCCAAACAAGUUACGUCCUGCCUUCAGACUCCAUUUUUGUGUUAGUAUUUUUUAUGUUUUGUGUUAUUUUAAUUUACAUACUCAUUGUAAUUUAAAACUUGACUUUUUAAACUGAAUGUUUUAGAGGACUUGAUGUUUGUAAAUGAACGUUUUAAUUUAAUUUGUAUAUUUAAAACAAAAAGUUGUGAAUAGAGUUUCAUGUACCAAAGCCAAUAAAUUGUUACCGAAAUCC